UGGUCUGGGCGUAAGCUCUUUGGACCACCGUAGGCGGGAUGAAGUUCC
rnacentral:ncRNA from 1 species